CUGGGAUUACAGGCAUGCACUACCAUACCCAGGGAUCUCGCUGUAAGCAAUGGAUAAGAGUGCUCGUUUCCUCGUAGCCUUGCCAACAGUAUAUUUUCAAACUUUUGAAUUGUUCAUCUGAUAGAUCCCUUGCUCUAGGGGAGGCCAGUUGUCAUUUGGUGAGGAGACUCAAGCAGCCUUAUGGAAGGAUUCACAUGAGGAAGAACUGAGGUCCCUUGUCAACAGCCAGCAUUAAUGUACAAGAGCCUUAUGAGUCAGUCAUCUUGGAAACAGAUCCUUCUGUCCCAUUACACUUCAAAAGACUGCAGCCACAGCCAACAUUUAGAUUGUAACUUUAUGAGACCCCAAAGCCACCAAUAAAAUUAUGGGGGGUUGGCAUUCUACUAGAGCAUUCCAUUUUUAGAUGGCAAUUUAAA